GAUGAACGCUGGCGGCGUGCCUAACACAUGCAAGUCGAACGGGAUGCGUAUUGGAAAGCUUCGGCCGGAAGAUACGUUAUCUAGUGGCGGACGGGUGAGUAACACGUGGGUAACCUGCCUUAUGGAGGGGGAUAACAGAGAGAAAUCACUGCUAAUACCGCAUAAGCACACAGUACCGCAUGGUACAGGGUGAAAAGAUUUAUCACCAUAAGAUGGACCCGCGUCUGAUUAGCCAGUUGGCAGGGUAAAAGCCUACCAAAGCAACGAUCAGUAGCCGAUCUGAGAGGAUGACCGGCCACAUUGGGACUGAGACACGGCCCAAACUCCUACGGGAGGCAGCAGUGGGGAAUAUUGCACAAUGGGGGAAACCCUGAUGCAGCGACGCCGCGUGAGUGAAGAAGUAUUUCGGUAUGUAAAGCUCUAUCAGCAGGGAAGAUAAUGACAGUACCUGACUAAGAAGCCCCGGCUAACUACGUGCCAGCAGCCGCGGUAAUACGUAGGGGGCAAGCGUUAUCCGGAUUUACUGGGUGUAAAGGGAGCGUAGACGGAAUGGCAAGUCUGAAGUGAAAUACCCGGGCUCAACCUGGGAACUGCUUUGGAAACUGUUGUUCUAGAGUGUUGGAGAGGUAAGUGGAAUUCCUGGUGUAGCGGUGAAAUGCGUAGAUAUCAGGAAGAACACCGGAGGCGAAGGCGGCUUACUGGACAAUAACUGACGUUGAGGCUCGAAAGCGUGGGGAUCAAACAGG
rnacentral:rRNA from 1 species